rnacentral:pre_miRNA from 1 species
AAUAGAUGACGCCGUUGACUUUUUCUCACAUAUUUGACCAUUCGUCUUAUUCAAAAAAUUUACGUAAUUAUAAUUUAUUUUGUUAUGAGUUGUUUUAUUACUCAUAGUACUUUAAGUGCGAUUUAUAUCUUAUAUAUUUGUAAAAAAAAUUAAAUAAGACGAAUAGUCAAACAUGUGAGAAAAAGUCAACAGCGUCAUCUAUU